rnacentral:lncRNA from 1 species
GUACCGAAUGCUUGUUAUUUUUUUUGAUUGAUUUGUAAAAUAAAGUCCCUACCGAAUACAAAAAUUGGCCUUUUUAUAGCCCGAAAUCCCCUUUUCUUUUCUUUUUUUACAUUGCUUUUUUCUUUUAGAUUCUUCUAGCAUUUUACAGGUACAAAGUUGUACGGUGGUGACAUGGAGGCACACGUGGCGGCAAGCACGCCGUUGGGGCGUGCGGCGGUUGAGGCUUGGUUGCUGCUUAGGGUUUUUCUUUGUGUUUUUUUCUUUGCAAUUGGGUUUGGGUCUAAGUUGUAAUUGGGCUAUUUGGGCUGAUGUUAUUUUAUUUGGGCUAUAUUGGACUGUAAUUUAUUGGACUUUUAUUUUUUUUUGGUUUAUUUUUUGGUUUAUUUAAUUGGCCCCGGGCAAAUUGGGCCUAUUACAACAUUCAUUCACAUUCAUUCCCAUGUGAAUAACUAUAAGAAUGUAACAUCUUAUCAAAUAUUAAUCAAAUAAGAUGAAGAGAGAGAUUCGAUCUCGUUUUACACAAUAAACA